UGGCACUUAUUAACGUCGUGUUCGUACAAAGUGACGUCAUUUUUAGUAUCGGGCCGACGGGAUAGAUGGCGUUAUAUUGCGUUAUAUUAUGUAGAUAUCUACUUUAUCUUGGCAGUUUAAAUUAAUAAAUAUUUUAGGAUUUAAGUAGUCGUUUCGUCAAUUUGUUUUUCUACUGUUUUCUAAGUUGUUUGUCAAGUUGGUUAGUGUUUUGAUGCGGCUUUGUGUUUGAUAGUAAAUUUUAAAGAAAUUUACGAAAUUUUAUUCGUGCAGAAAAUGUCAAAAAGUUGCGCCAUUAGUGGAUGCGUACAAAGGUAUGGAAGUUUCUACCGAUUUCCAAACCCACAAAUGUAUCCAGAAAUAUAUCAAAGAUGGGUUUUAUGUUGUGUGCGAGAAAACCUGCUUCAGUGUGAACACUUGAGGGUUUAUAAUAAUUUUCGAGUUUGUGAUAAGCCUUUUCGACGAGAGGAUGUUGGACGUAACAACAAAUUGUUGAAAGGAGUAGUACCAUCAUUAAAUUUGCCAGUAUGUGUAUAAAAUUAUCAAAAUGUUGUUAGGACUGAGGCAUAUUUUUUUUCACAUGUAGGAUAUCAGUACUUAGAAGUCACUACUUCAAGUGCUUCGAAUAACACGCCCACUACUCCACAUGCAGAUAUGGGACUUUAGGUUGCUUCAACAUCCACCAGUGCAAUCUCAUUGGAGACUUCAGGGUAACCCCGCUUAAUGGGGAAACAGCGUUAAUCGGGAUCAUUAUUGGAUAUUUUUUGACAGCUAAACAAAGGGAGAGUUUAUUGGAGGAAGUUGGUGUCCACAAACAAGACGACUUAUCACCAAAAGCCCAACAUUUAUACAGGAAAGCAGUGAUGUAUAAGAGGAAAUUCCAGCGCCAGAGUAUAACAUCCUAAAGAAAUAAAAGAAAAUUAUUACCAAAGAGACAACUUUUUAAGCAGUCAAUUUCAAGUUUAGACACACUAAAACAAUCCUUUUUUUUUGAGCCAAUAUGACAACGAAGGAAGAAGGUUGCAGGGGAGGCGUUAUACACUUGAUGACAAAAUAUUGGCAUUACAUUUAAUGCUACAAAAUGGAAAGGGGUAUAAGGUGUUAUAAAGUGUAAAGUUACACUGUGAGGAAUAAACAGAUUAACACCGUAUUUUUAACAUCUUUUAACAAAGUUAUUUUGACAUUCAAAUGUGUUGCAACCUAUUAGAAUUUAGUUAAAUUUACCACUUUUUCGCGGUAAUAUUUCAUCUUAUAUCGAAAGAGUUAAAUCACUUCGUAAAAUUUUUAACAGUGUAUCAUUAAUCAUUAGAUCAUUACACAUUGUUUAUAGUUAUUGUUCUUUUAUAUUAAAAUAAGACUUUAUGGU